GCGCUGCAGAUCUGGUUGAUCCUGCCGGACCCGACUGCUAUCAGAGUGGGACUAAGCCCUGCGAGUCAACAUAGCAAUAUGUGGCAUACGGCUCAGUAACACGUAGUCAACAUGCCCAGGGGACGUGGAUAACCUCGGGAAACUGAGGAUAAACCGCGAUAAGUCACUACUUCUGGAAUGGGUAAUGACUUAAAUCUAUAUGGCCCCUGGAUUGGACUGCGGCCGAUCAGGCUGUUGGUGAGGUAAUGGCCCACCAAACCUGUAACCGGUACGGGCUCUGAGAGGAGGAGCCCGGAGAUGGGCACUGAGACAAGGGCCCAGGCCCUAUGGGGCGCAGCAGGCGCGAAACCUCUGCAAUAGGCGAAAGCCUGACAGGGUUACUCUGAGUGAUUUCCGUUAAGGAGAUCUUUUGGCACCUCUAAAAAUGGUGCAGAAUAAGGGGUGGGCAAGUCUGGUGUCAGCCGCCGCGGUAAUACCAGCACCCCGAGUGGUCGGGACGUUUAUUGGGCCUAAAGCAUCCGUAGCCGGUUCUGCAAGUCUUCCGUUAAAUCCACCUGCUUAACAGAUGGGCCGCGGAAGAUACUAUAGAGCUAGGAGGCGGGAGAGGCAAGCGGUACUCGAUGGGUAGGGGUAAAAUCCGUUGAUCCAUUGAAGACCACCAGUGGCGAAGGCGGCUUGCCAGAACGCGCUCGACGGUGAGGGAUGAAAGCUGGGGGAGCAAACCGGAUUAGAUACCCGGGUAGUCCCAGCUGUAAACGAUGCAGACUCGGUGAUGAAUUGGCUUUAUGCCUAUUCAGUGCCGCAGGGAAGCCGUUAAGUUUGCCGCCUGGGGAGUACGGUCGCAAGACUGAAACUUAAAGGAAUUGGCGGGGGAGCACCACAAGGGGUGAAGCCUGCGGUUCAAUUGGAU
rnacentral:rRNA from 1 species